rfam:Cavia porcellus supercont2_119 genomic scaffold, whole genome shotgun sequence.
CUAAAAGAUUUUUUAAAAUCCACACUACACAUCCAAAAGAAAAUAAU